rnacentral:rRNA from 1 species
UGGGGAAUAUUGGACAAUGGGGGCAACCCUGAUCCAGCAAUGCCGCGUGUGUGAAGAAGGUUUUCGGAUUGUAAAGCACUUUCGACGGGGACGAUGAUGACGGUACCCGUAGAAGAAGCCCCGGCUAACUUCGUGCCAGCAGCCGCGGUAAUACGAAGGGGGCUAGCGUUGCUCGGAAUGACUGGGCGUAAAGGGCGUGUAGGCGGUUUGUACAGUCAGAUGUGAAAUCCCCGGGCUUAACCUGGGAGCUGCAUUUGAUACGUGCAGACUAGAGUGUGAGAGAGGGUUGUGGAAUUCCCAGUGUAGAGGUGAAAUUCGUAGAUAUUGGGAAGAACACCGGUGGCGAAGGCGGCAACCUGGCUCAUAACUGACGCUGAGGCGCGAAAGCGUGGGGAGCAAACAGGAUUAGAUACC